GCGGCCAACUGUUUCGUAGCUAGUUUCUCGAGCGUCCCGCCCCGAUGCACAUAUUGAGUUGGCUGUUCGAUUAAUGGGUUGUUGCCUGUGUUGCUACUAUUAUUGGGAUAAUGUUUGUUUUGUGACUACGGCGUGCCAUGUUGCCUUCGAUUAUGAUUUUGAGAAAGUUGCGUAGGAUAUUGAAACAUCGGCUUUGUUCGGGAGAGAUGGAAGAGUCUGGACUAGUCCGCAGCUCCCGACAUAUUCAUAUGAGCAGCUCUUUAGGAUAAGGUAGAUAUGUAGGUUCUUGUGGUCCUCGUCGGUACGCAUGCAACCUCGUAGUGCACACCGGUAACAGUUGAUUGUGUGGUAGGAUCAGUGUGCCAUCUUAGCGUUCCUGUUUUUGCUCCUCGUGCGG
rnacentral:misc_RNA from 1 species